GUAUGGUAAUUUUAUUUGCUAAUCAAUUAUUUUUAUUAAAUUUGUAAAUAUAACGAUGUGUUGAUUGUCAGAUCAACUAUAGAUAAUCAUCAUAACAGCGAUGACGACACAUAUGAAGAAGAAUUGGCAUCAAUAGCGGGUUCAAACAAUAUGCACUAGGAUAAAACUUUUGUAGAUUCAAUAACAAGUAUGAGACUGACGAUGGUCCUGAUAAUCUAGAUAACUUGAGGAAGUUUGCAAAGCAAUUCUAGAGACGAUCACUUGAAGCUGCAGCAUCUAAAGGUGGAGAAAAUGAUGAUAUCCCAGAUCUAAUGCUUGGAGAGACAUUUGAGUCGGCUGCAUAAUCUUGACAAUGAAUUUUUUAUAUAUAUUUCAUAUCAUUUUUGGAAGCUUUAAUUAAAUGUUGCAAUGAUGGGCAAUUUUUUUUAUCUGUUAGUGUUAAUCUUUAUCGCUUACUUUGAAUUUUGAUUGUAAAUUGUAAAUUCAUUUAUUCCCAUAUGCAUAAGACAGUUACAAUACA